rnacentral:rRNA from 1 species
AUUGAACGCUGGCGGCAUGCUUUACACAUGCAAGUCGGACGGCAGCACAGAGAAGCUUGCUUCUUGGGUGGCGAGUGGCGAACGGGUGAGUAACAUAUCGGAACGUACCGAGCAGUGGGGGAUAACUAAUCGAAAGAUUAGCUAAUACCGCAUAUUUUCUGAGGAAGAAAGCAGGGGACCAUUUGGCCUUGCGCUGUUUGAGCGGCCGAUAUCUGAUUAGCUAGUUGGUGGGGUAAAGGCCUACCAAGGCGACGAUCAGUAGCGGGUCUGAGAGGAUGAUCCGCCACACUGGGACUGAGACACGGCCCAGACUCCUACGGGAGGCAGCAGUGGGGAAUUUUGGACAAUGGGCGCAAGCCUGAUCCAGCCAUGCCGCGUGUCUGAGGAAGGCCUUCGGGUUGUAAAGGACUUUUGUCAGGGAAGAAAAGGGCGGGGUUAAUACCCCUGUCUGAUGACGGUACCUGAAGAAUAAGCACCGGCUAACUACGUG